GGUGACUCAGUGGUAGGGUACAUGUCUUGCAUACAUGAGGUCCUGGUUUUGAUCCCCAGAACCA
rnacentral:tRNA from 1 species